ACUCAAAGGAAUAGACGGGGGCUCACACAAGCGGUGGAGCAUGUUGCUUAAUUCGAAGCAACGCGAAGAACCUUACCUGGGCUUGACAUGUACGGAUUAACUCUAUGAAAGUAGAGCCACGCCUUCGGGUGGAACGUACACAGGUGCUGCAUGGCUGUCGUCAGCUCGUGCUGUGAAGUGUCGGGUUAAGUCCCUUAACGAGCGCAACCCCUGUCGCUAGUUGCCAGCGCGUCAUGGCGGGGACUCUAGCGAGACUGCCGGUGUCAAACCGGAGGAAGGUGGGGAUGACGUCAAGUCCUCAUGGCCCUUACGUCCAGGGAUGCAAACGUGCUACAAUGCCAUGUACAAAGCGAUGCAAGACCGCGAGGUGGAGCAAAUCGCAGAAAGCAUGGCCCAGUUCGGAUUGGAGUCUGCAACCCGACUCCAUGAAGCCGGAAUCGCUAGUAAUCGCGGAUCAGCUAUGCCGCGGUGAAUACGUUCCUGAGCCUUGCACACACCGCCCGU
rnacentral:rRNA from 1 species